GCCUGGGUGGCUCAGUCGGUUGAGCGUCCGACUUCGGAUCAGGUCAUGAUCUCACGGUUUGUGGGUUCGAGCCCCGCAUCGGGCU
rfam:Felis catus isolate Cinnamon breed Abyssinian chromosome D2, whole genome shotgun sequence.